rnacentral:misc_RNA from 1 species
AACGCACAUUGCGCCCUUUGGUAUUCCGAAGGGCAUGCCUGUUCGAGCGUCAUUAUCACCUCUCAAGCUUGGCUUGUUGUUGGGCCCCAUCGUUAAAGAUGGGCUCGAAAGAUAACGACGGCGUUGAGUAACCCCCGAUGCAACCAGCUUUCCAGAGCACGCAUGGUGACGGUUAACCAACCUAGUCUUCACUAAAUAUUUUACGGUUGACCUCGGAUCAGGUAGGAAUACCCGCUGAACUUAA